rnacentral:rRNA from 1 species
UAGGGAAUCUUCGGCAAUGGACGAAAGUCUGACCGAGCAACGCCGCGGGAGGGAAGAAGGUUUUCGGAUCGUAAAACUCUGUUGUUAGAGAAGAACAAGGACGUUAGUAACUGAACGUCCCCUGACGGUAUCUAACCAGAAAGCCACGGCUAACUACGUGCGAGCAGCCGCGGUAAUACGUAGGUGGCAAGCGUUGUCGGAAUUUAUUGGGCGGAAAGCGAGCGCAGGCGGUUUCUUACGUCUGAUGUGAAAGCCCCCGGCUCAACCGGGGAGGGUCAUUGGAAACUGGGAGACUUGAGUGCAGAAGAGGAGAGUGGAAUUCCAUGUGUAGCGGUGAAAUGCGUAGAUUUAGGGAGGAACACCAGUGGCGAAGGCGGCUCUCUGGUCUGUAACUGACGCUGAGGCUCGAAAGCGUGGGGAGCAAACAGG